rnacentral:rRNA from 1 species
AGAGGGGGCCAACGUUAUUCGGAAUUAUUGGGCGUAAAGGGCGCGUAGGCGGCCAUGCGUGUCUUUCGUGAAAUCCCUCGGCUUAACUGAGGACGUGCGGAAGAAACUGCAAGGCUUGAGUCCGGGAGAGGGGGGUGGAAUUCCCAGUGUAGCGGUGAAAUGCGUAGAUAUUGGGAGGAACACCGGUGGCGAAGGCGGCCCCCUGGACCGGUACUGACGCUGAGGCGCGAAAGCGUGGGUAGCAAACGGGAUUAGAUACCCCGGUAGUCCACGCCGUAAACGAUGGGCACUUGGUGUCGCGGGUAUCGACCCCUGCGGUGCCGAAGCUAACGCAUUAAGUGCCCCGCCUGGGGAGUACGGUCGCAAGGCUG